UACAGAGGUCCCAAGCGUUGUUCGGAUUCACUGGGCGUAAAGGGUGCGUAGGUGGUGAGGUAAGUCGGAUGUGAAAUCUCCGAGCUCAACUCGGAAAUGGCAUUGGAAACCACCUUGCUAGAGGGUUGGAGGGGGGACUGGAAUACUUGGUGUAGCAGUGAAAUGCGUAGAUAUCAAGUGGAACACCAGUGGCGAAGGCGAGUCCCUGGACAACUCCUGACACUGAGGCACGAAAGCUAGGGGAGCAAGCAGG
rnacentral:rRNA from 1 species